CCUGAUGACUAUAGCAAGUUGGUACCACCCCUUCCCAUCCCGAACAGGACCGUGAAACGACUUCGCGCCGAUGAUAGUGCUGCAACCAGUGUGAAAGUAGGUCAUCGUCAGGCUUGUUACUCCGCAAUAGCCUCUCCAUCUCUGAUGGGGAGGCUUUUUGCUUUGCACUCUGGGACUUUGCGAUUUGCGGAGCCGCGUUGGGGGAGCGUUUUAGCGUUUAGCCCUUCUGGCUCUGGGCUUCGCUUCGGCUUGGAAGCUUGGGCUGCCUCUGCGAGCGUACCUCCAU
rnacentral:rRNA from 2 species